GCCGGGCUAGCUCAAUCGGUAGAGCGUGAGACUCUUAGUUCGCGUUCUGACAUGGCGAUAUCUCAAGGUUGCGGGUUCGACCCCCGCGUUCGGCU
rfam:Escovopsis weberi scaffold00009, whole genome shotgun sequence.